rnacentral:pre_miRNA from 1 species
CAACUACUCCCUCUGUCCCAAAUUUCUUGUCUUAGAUUUGUCUAGAUACGGAUGUAUCUAAUACUAAAAUGUGACUUGAUACAUCCGUAUCUAGAAAAAUCUAAGACAAGAAUUUUGGGACGGAGGGANGUCUUA